rnacentral:rRNA from 1 species
AGCGAACGCUGGCGGCAGGCCUAACACAUGCAAGUCGAACGAACCUUUCGGGGUUAGUGGCGGACGGGUGAGUAACACGUGGGAACGUGCCUUUAGGUUCGGAAUAACUCAGGGAAACUUGUGCUAAUACCGAAUGUGCCCUUCGGGGGAAAGAUUAAUCGCCUUUAGAGCGGCCCGCGUCUGAUUAGCUAGUUGGUUGAGGUAAUGGCUCACCAAGGCGACGAUCAGUAGCUGGUCUGAGAGGAUGAUCAGCCACAUUGGGGCUGAGACACGGCCCAAACUCCUACGGGAAGCAGCAGUGGGGAAUCUUGCGCAAUGGGCGAAAGCCUGACGCAGCCAUGCCGCGUGAAUGAUGAAGGUCUUAGGAUUGUAAAAUUCUUUCACCGGGGACGAUAAUGACGGUACCCGGAGAAGAAGCCCCGGCUAACUUCGUG